rnacentral:rRNA from 1 species
ACUCCUAAUAAUACACUGAGCCACACUAUAAAAAUAGCCGAACUUAUGCUAAAACUAGUAACAAGAAAACUUCUCUACCACACACUCAUGCAUCAGUAAUAGAACGCCUGCUGAAAAUUAACAGACCACCCAACCCAAUAAAUAUUCAUAUUAAACAGACUGUCAUACCAACACCGGAGUGUUUUAAAGAAAGAUUAAAAGCUGUAGAAGGAACUCAGCAAGCCCUGUCCCAACUGUUUACCAAAAACAUAGCCUUUAGCAAUACAAGUAUUAAAGGUCCCGCCUGCCCAGUGAAACCCCUUCAACGGCCGCGGUAUUCUAACCGUGCAAAGGUAGCGUAAUCACUUGUCCCCUAAAUAGGGACCAGUAUGAACGGCUAAAUGAGGACAAACCUGUCUCCUACAACCAAUCAGUGAAACUGAUCUUCCAGUACAAAAGCUGAAAUACAUACAUAAGACGAGAAGACCCUGUGGAGCUUAAAAUUGACUACUACACCAACAUACCUAGUACAAAAUUUUAAGUUGGGGCGACUUCGGAAUAAAACAAAACUUCCGAGCACAGAACCAUAAAUUCUUGACAAGGCCCACAAGCCAAAACACAAACUGACCCAGUCAUACUGACCAACGAACCAAGUUACCCCAGGGAUAACAGCGCCAUCUUCUUCAAGAGCCCCUAUCGACAAGAAGGUUUACGACCUCGAUGUUGGAUCAGGACACCCAAAUGGUGCAGCCACUAUUAAAGGUUCGUUUGUUCAACGAUUAACAGU